UUCUACUCAAUAUAAAGGUCUUUUAAACUUUGUAUACACAUCAGACAAUAAAGCAGCAUGUUGUGUACAUCCUAACCAGCCUCACAGACUCACUUUAAAGAUUUAAGCCUUAUCCUCAUCUGAUCACAUUAAGAUUAAACUGUGGCGACUGCAUCCGUAUGGUCACAUGCGGCCUGUUUUCUCAGCUGAGCUUCAAGUAGUCUUGCAGGUUUUUCACUCAGGUUUGGGAACAACUGAUGUUACAUACUCCCUUACAGCUUGCUUUCAUUUUGAUCCAAGAUGACUGGUUAUGAAUGUAUCUGUUUCCUGCUCAUCCCAUCUGUUAAAUGUGUGAGAAGGUAACUGUGUCUGUGCAAGAAAUAAAUGUGUCUGAGCAAGAAAAUCAUUUCCCCCUAGGAAUUGGAGAUAGCUUUACUAUUAAACAUCUACUUCUACAAUUUGUUGCCACUUAUAUUAAUGCAUCACCUACUGGAUAAGUACUGGAACUGUUCAAUCAAGGAAUGUGCCACAGAUGUAUUCAAUUAAGAGUGCUUGCAUGCAAUUGCUGUAACUAUCCAUCACUGUGACAGAGCUGGAGAAAGAUUCACAUUGUGAGGGAUUAGUGUGAAGUAUGGAAAUGAGGGGUAGUGGUGGUGAUGGAUGAAUGACGGAGGGUUUUUUCCUUCUUUUCUUUUUUUCCUUUAUUUGUUUAGGAGACAAUUAUAAAUCAUUAUCACACAGUUAAGCUGUUAAAGGGAAACGUCUGUCUGCUGUCUACAUCCUGAAGUCACUUUCCUCUCAUUCCCGGCUUUCCUCUCUAAUUUUCCUGCACAAUCACAAGCACUGGUCGCUCUGUCAUGUCUCCCAGUAACACUGGCAUCUCAUUUAAAGGCAGCAGCCCAGCUCUGCAUCCAUUAGUUACAGUAGAGGGAGGGAAUAAGGGCUGUGGAGGGUUGGAAAAUAACAGCUAUUUAAGGGUUGGAGUUUAAGCAAUGGGGAUCUGACCUAAACUACUCCUCACACUUUAAAAGACAUUUACUCCCACUCUCUCCCUCUCUCUCUCUCUCUCUCUCUCUGAUUUUGACUCACUCUCUUUCUGACAGUAAAGGAGCUAAACUCCAGCCUGAGCUGUGAAUGGUGUGGAAAGAUAAGGAAGCUGGCUGAGGGAGAACUGACUGACAGAGCUGCUACCUUGCUGGAGAGGCUGCAAGACGGAGCGGUGACACAACAGAGCAAAGCAUCAUUAUUCUUGGUUUCAAUGAAUGUGUGAAGACUCAGAAGAGCGCCUUAUCUUACCUGCAUGGGCUUGUGACAAGUAGAUUGCACUUGUACAGAACCUUCACUUUUAAUGAGGAUUUGAUCUUUAGUCAGAGGUUCAAACUGAUAUUUAUUUUACUAAAUCCACGUCACACAUCUGGCAUGGGUGCACGAAGCAUUCUGAGCUGCCUCUUCCUGACUGCCUUGCUCAGCUUAUCAAAUGCUGGGCUUGUGAAGAAAAUUUUAAGGCAUCGACGACAGACUCUAGAACCCCAUAAAGAAGUUAACAUCACGCUCCCCAGCGCAGACCAUCCUGUGGUUUUCAACCAUGUCUAUAACGUCAAUGUCCCUGCAAGUUCCCUGUGCUCUGUGGCCCUGGACGCUCCAGGGAGCACGGAGCUCCAGCCUAGAGAUGCAUCAGGCCACCACAUCACUGAGCACACUGUCGAUGGGGAGAACCAGAUCGUCUUCACCCACCGCAUCAACAUACCUCGGCAGGCCUGUGGUUGUUCUGACGACAUGCCCGACCUGAAAGACCUCAUGAGCCGGCUGGAAAUGCUUGAGGGAGAAGUUUCAGCAUUGAGAGAUCAGUGCAAUGGGGACAGGGCCUGCUGCAGCGCACAGGUCACAGGUGAGGUGGGAACUAAACCUUACUGCAACAGUCAUGGAAACUACAGUAUUGAAACCUGUGGCUGCAUAUGUGAGCCGGGCUGGAAGGGGCCCAACUGCACCGAACCCGAGUGUCCCAAUAACUGCCAGGGCCGGGGCCGCUGCAUUGACGGAAAGUGUGAGUGCUUCAAGAGCUUCACCGGAGAAGACUGCACGCUCGAGGUCUGCCCCGUAGACUGCGGAGCACACGGCCAGUGUGUGGGCAGUGUUUGCAUCUGCUCGGAUGGUUUCCUUGGCAAAGACUGCUCUCAAACCAAGUGCCUGAACAACUGCCACGGCCGUGGGCGCUGUGAAGACGGAGACUGCGUGUGUGAUGAACCCUGGACAGGCUACGACUGCUCUGAACUCAUCUGCCCCAAAGACUGCUACGACCGUGGGCGCUGUGAGAACGGCACCUGCUAUUGCGAUGAGGGGUACACCGGGGAGGACUGUGGAGAACGCGUCUGCACCAACAACUGCCACGGUAAUGGUUUUUGUGUAGAUGGCCAGUGCGUCUGCACCGCCGGCUUCGGCGGGGAAGACUGCUCUCGGCUCCUGUGCCUCAACAACUGUAACGGCAGAGGUACGUGCUUCAACGGAAUGUGUGUCUGUGAAAUGGGCUAUCAAGGUGCAGACUGCAGCCAGAUAGCUUGUCUGAACAACUGUAACAACAGAGGCCAGUGCAUAAAUGGACAGUGUGGCUGCGAUGUUGGUUUCCAGGGAGAUGAUUGCUCGGAGCUUUCCUGUCCAAACAAAUGCCUGCAUAGGGGGCGCUGUGUUAACGGACAGUGUGUGUGCGAAGAAGGCUUCGCUGGUGAGGACUGCAGCAUCAGGACCUGCCCCUCAAAUUGCUAUGGCCGCGGCGAGUGUCUGAAAGGACGUUGUGUGUGUCAUGUAGGCUUCACCGGUGAGGACUGUGCUCAACUGAGCUGCCCUAACAACUGCCAAAACCGCGGCCGGUGCAUCGAUGGGCAGUGCGUUUGUGACGAAGGCUUCAGUGGGGAGGACUGUAGUCAGAAAGCUUGUCCCAACGACUGCCUGGCCCGGGGUUACUGCGUUGACGGCAAGUGCAUCUGUCAAGAAGGCUACUCAGGAGAUGACUGCUCUGUGCUCGCCUGUCCAGGCAACUGCAACAACAGGGGGCGCUGCAUCAACGGACGGUGCACAUGUGAGAGUGAAUAUGAAGGAGAAAGCUGUGCGGAACUGAGCUGCCUCAACAACUGCCAGGACAAAGGACGCUGUGAGAAUGGUCAGUGCGUCUGUGAUGAGGGAUUCAUUGGAGAAGACUGCUCAGAAGUGUCUCCUCCAAAGGACCUUACUGUUGGCGAGGUCACCGCUGACACGGUGGACCUGUCCUGGAACAACGAGAUGUUGGUGACAGAAUACCUUGUGACGUAUGUGCCCACCAGUCCUGGUGGUCUUCACCAGGAGUUCACUGUGACAGGAGACAAAACAGCAGCCACCGUCAAAGAGCUCGAACCUGGCAUUGAGUACCAGAUCAAUGUCUACGCUGUUCUGAGCAACAAGAAGAGUGUCCCUGUCAGCGCGAGAGUGGCCACAGAGCUUCCACAGCCAGAGGGCUUAAGAUUCAAAUCGGUGAGAGAGACCUCAGUGGAGGUGGUGUGGGACCAGCUGGACAUCUCUUUUGACAGCUGGGAGAUCUAUUUCCGCAACACGAAAGAAGAAAAUGGAAAAGUCAUGAGCACCCUUCAACCUUCUCAAACCCAGUUUCUCCAGUCAGGCCUGGGACCAGGACAGGAGUAUGAGGUCUCUGUUAACAUCAUCAAGAACAACACCAAAGGACCCCAAACAUCCAAAAAAGUCACUACCAAGAUCGAUGGCCCCCGGCAGGUUGAGGUGAAGGACGUGACGGACUCCUCUGCUCUGGUCAGCUGGUCUCAGCCGGUGGCUCCUAUGGACAGACUCACUAUGUUUUACAGGCCCAGCUCCGGCCCGUCUGAUGAAACCAGUGUAGAUAUUCCCCCCCCAAACAAGCAGCACAGCAUCGACAGUCUGAGGCCAGACACUGAGUACAAGGUGUCGCUCAUCUCCAGGAGUGGAGGCCUCACCAGUGACCCUGUCACGGCCACAUUCACUACAGCCCUGGACGCCCCCAGAGACCUGCAGGCCGUGUCUCAGACAGACAACAGCAUCUCUCUGGAGUGGACUAACAGUCAAGCUGAUGUUGGCAGCUAUCUGGUGAAAUACAGUCCCAUCUCUGGAGCGACUCACAGCGAGGAACUGUUCCCACGGGGACCAGGAGACACAACAAAAGCUACUAUCACUGGGCUAAAGCCAGGCACAGAGUAUGGGAUUGGUGUGACAGCUGUGAAGAGUGAGAGAGAGAGCCUCCCUGCUACUACAAAUGUCGCAACUGACAUCGAUCCACCCAGAGGUUUAGAAAAAAUCGAGUCCACAGAGACCUCCCUCACCUUGAAGUGGCAGAAACCUCGGGCUAAGAUUGGCGCCUACAGGCUCGAAUAUGUCUCCAGAGACGGCCAGGCUGAAGAGGUGGAGAUCCCAGCCAAAGCGACUAGCUACGUCCUGUCCAACCUGACUCCUGGAAUGAGCUACACCCUCACUUUGGCUGCUGAGAGGGGGCACAAGAGGAGCACACCUGUCACCUUACCUGCAUCUACAGCCUUGUUCACAUUUUAUUUAGCUGACUCAGAUGACCGUGAGCUAACGACUCCUGCAGGCUCGGAGGAUAAUGUCAUUAGCUUUGUGUAUUUAGACCCCUCUGAGUCCCACUUCUCAGUUGGUAUGGAGUCUGACGAUGAGCUUGGGAAACUGACUAUCUCGGGCAUCACGCCUGAUGGAUUUAACCUCUCGUGGAAACUAAAUGCUCUCAGUAUCUAUGAUAGUUUGGCAGUAGAGUAUAAAGACGCUCAGCGAUUGUGGGAUGUGAGAGAGGUCCAACUUCCUGGAGAUGCCACUGGCUCUAGAAUCCAGAGCCUGAAUGCAUCGACAGAAUAUCAAAUAAAACUUUAUGGAUUAACCAGUAGCCAGAGAUCUGCGCUACUUGAAGCUGUUGCAGUCACAGCACCCACGCCUACCUCUCCAGAUGUUCUUGUGCUGAGCAGCAAAGAUGCCCCUACAACCCAAACAACUGCUCUGGAUAUUGAAGCAGUUCAAAACCCAGAUCCCCUCCGUCCUCUAAACACGUCAGAUACAGGUGUGAUGGGCUCUGGGGCUGAGCCUGAAAGCUCGAGCCUGGACGUGAUGGGGAACCUCACAGUCAAAGUCACCUCCACCAGUGUAAGCUUGGCUUGGUCGGCGCCUACUGAGGCAUUUGACAGCUUUUUGGUGGAGCUCAGUCCUCUGUCAGGGGCAACACAAGCUAAUGUGACCACACUACAUGGUAGUCUGCGAAAGGCUGAAAUAGCGGGUUUGUCCCCCUCCACACGAUAUGGUAUUACAUUGCAAGGGCUGGUGGAAGGCAGGCGAUCUUUACCUCUCAAAGUUUUUGCUACUACAGAGGAGCUGAAGCCCACGGUGGGGAACCUCACCAUCUCUGACAUUACAUGGGACGGCUUCACUGCGUCCUGGAUCCCCACCGCUAGGGAAUUUGACAGCUUUGUCAUUGAGGUAACAAACUUGGAGAAUUUCGAAGAGAGCCAAAACCUCAGUCUGUCCGGAGACGCUUUCAGCCUGGGCAUCUCGGGGCUGAAUCCCAACACCAGCUACAUGGUUGGCCUGUUUGGGAUGUAUCAGGGCUCCUUCCUUGAACCCGUGUACACUGAAUCAACCACAGUGAAUCAACCAGUGGUUGGCAAACUAUAUAUCUCAAACUUAACGUCAGAGAGUUUUUCAAUCUUCUGGAAUGGCACUGAAGGAGAAUUUGAUGGUUUUAUCCUGGAGAUUAUUGAUUCUGAUUGGCUGAUGGAGCCAAAGGAAUAUAACGUAUCCCACAAUGUAAAGUCCCAUGACGUCACAGGGCUCAGGCCCAACACUGACUAUAUAGCCUACGUCUAUGGGACAUACAAGAGAUCCCGAACAAGUGCUGUCAGUAUUGUUGCAUCAACAGCUGAAGAGCCUGAUUUGUCCAGGCUAGUUGUUUCUAACAUUACCUCCGACAGAUUUUCUCUGUCGUGGCGGACAGGAGAGAAGGCUUUUGAUAACUUUAUAGUAGAAGUCAGAGAGUCUGCUUUGCCCUCACAGGCAAUGGGCCGCUCUCUGCCAGGAGAUGUGCGCUCCACAGUCAUGGCCGGGCUCAAAGCGAGCACAAGCUACAACAUAAAGCUGUACGCCAGCGCUGGUGGCCAGAACACACAGCCUCUGUUUGAUCUAGCUACAACAGAGGAUGUCCCACAGUUGGGGCCCAUAGCUGCUUCAUCUGUGAGUCCACAGAAUCUCAGCUUGUCCUGGAGCACUGUGUCAGGCCAUUUUGAUGGUUUUGUUAUUCGGGUCAGUGACCCUGAGCAGCAGUCUGAUACGCUGGAGUUCAGACUGCCUGGGGAAGCCCGUAACAUCACAAUCUCUAACCUGAUGGAUGCCACAGGCUAUGAUAUUGAACUGUACGGUAUCUCUCAUGGGCGCCACACUCCCUCAGUGUUAGCCCACGCUGUCACAGCUCCUUUGCCUAAAGUGGAAAACUUGUCCAUUUCCAACAUAACCCCCUACGGCUUCCGUGUGCUGUGGGAGGUGAAGCAGCAGGAGGAAUUUGCCCCCUCUAGUGGCGGCUUCAGCCGUUUUCACAUAGUGGUGACAGACUCUGGCUGGCUGCUGGAGCCUCAGGAGUUCAAUGUGCCAGGAAACCAAAGUCACCUGGAUAUCUGGGGCCUCAUCACCGGCAUAGGCUAUGAGGUCAGGCUGACCGGGGUGUCAGAGUCAGGGCUUCUCUCUCGGCCUCUGACUACAGUGGCUGUGACAGAGGCUGAGCCUGAGGUGGAGCAUCUCUUUGUCUCGGACAUCACAGCUGACAGUUUCCGUCUGUCGUGGACGACUGAAGAAGACUUGUUUGAAAGAUAUGUGAUCAAAAUAAGAGACAGCAAAAGAUUAGCCCACCCUAAAGAAUACAGUGUCCAUGGCCGUGAACGAACCAAGAUUUUAACUGGACUCAUGAGUGGCACCGAGUAUGAAAUCGAGCUUUAUGGUGUCUCAUUGGACAGACGCUCCCAACCUAUUACUGGGGUUGCUCAGACAGGCCUGAGCACUCCAAGAGGACUUAGCUUCUCUGAUGUGACCGACUCCUCCGCUGUAGUUCACUGGUCCAUGCCUCACUCUCCAGUGGAUAACUACCGAAUCACCUAUGUGCCCUUUGAAGGAGGAAGUCCAAUGAUGUUGACUGUGGAUGGCAACGUGUUUGAGGCUUCUCUACCCAAUAUGCUCUCUGGCAAAUUGUACAAAGUGACAGUGAGUGCUGUGAAGGGUCUGGAGGAGAGCGACGCCAGCACUGACACUGUAAUCACAGCUUUGGACAGUCCGCAGGGUCUGACUGCAGUCAAUGUCACUGACUCCUCGGCGCUGUUGCUGUGGCAACCGUCUCUGGCCACGGUCGAUGGCUAUGUCAUUACUUACAGUACUGAUUCAGUGUCCCCAGUGGUGGAGCACGUUUCUGGGAACACGGUGGAGUUUGAGAUGGGCUCCCUGGUUCCAGGAACCCACUACUCAGUUGGAGUACAUGCUGUAAAAGAAGCGCAGAAGAGUGACUCUGUUGUCACUGAUUUCACCACCGGUGUGGAUCCUCCUCGUGAUCUGACGGCAGUUAACGUCCAAACUGACAGUGCGACUCUCACCUGGAAACCCCCGCAGGCUGCUGUGACUGGUUACAUACUCACCUUCUCCUCUGCUGAUGGUACAAUCAGGGAAGUAGUGCUCAGCCCGACAGCGUCCUCAUACAGCAUGGCUCAGCUUACCGGCUCCACGGAGUACAACGUGAGACUGCAGGCCAUCGCUGGAGCCCAGAGGAGUCGUCCUGUGAACAGCGUCUUCACUACCAUUGGACAGUUGUACAGACGACCUAAGGACUGUGCUCAGAUUUUACUGAAUGGAGAGACGACCUCUGGUCUGUACACCAUCUACGUGGGUGGAGAAGAGAGCCAGUCCAUCCAGGUUUACUGUGACAUGACCACAGAUGGCGGCGGAUGGAUAGUUUUCCUGAGACGCCAGAAUGGAAAGCUGGAAUUCUUCAGGAACUGGAAGAACUACACGGCUGGCUUCGGUAACUUGAAUGAUGAAUUUUGGCUGGGUCUGUCCAACCUCCAUAAAAUCACAAAUUCUGGCCAUUAUGAGCUGCGAGUGGAUUUGAGGGACAACGGGGAAUCGGCCUACGCUCAGUACGACAAGGUCACAAUUGCAGAGCCAAAAACGCGUUAUAAAGUCUACAUAGGAGCGUUUAGUGGAACAGCAGGUGACUCCAUGACGUACCACCAGGGUCGCCCCUUCUCCACCUUCGACAACGAUAACGACAUUGCUGUCACCAACUGCGCCUUGUCCUACAAAGGGGCCUUUUGGUAUAAGAACUGUCAUCGUGUCAACCUCAUGGGGAAAUAUGGUGACAACAGUCACAGUAAGGGGAUCAACUGGUUCCACUGGAAGGGCCACGAACACUCAAUUGAAUUUGCAGAGAUGAAGAUUAGGCCGGCCAACUUAAGAAAUUUUGAGAACAGAAAAAAGCGAUCGUAGACUUGUGAAACCCCACUACUCGUCUACACAUCAUCUCCACCCCCCACCACCUCCACCUAUAGCCACACCGGCAGUCAAGAACAUCUGCGUUUCCUCAACCUCAAAUCAUUAUUUAAAAUACACACAAAACAAAAAGACCAUCAAGCUGAAUGUAAUUCAAAUUCUGGCUGUGAGAAAUGAACCUGCUAAUAUUUACACCAUAGAAACAUGUUUUGUGUGGCCAGUGUAUGGACAUACAAUACAUGUGUUAUUGGGACCAAACAUCUGUAAUCAUAUUAGGAGUUCAUUGUAAAAAUGUGUAAAUGAAUCCACUGAAUCGGUAACAUGUCAAGGGCACAUAGUCAGAAGAAGGCAUCCUGUCCCCUGAAGUAAUGGGAAGUAAAUUCAAUGUUGAAUUAGUUAAAUUCCUCUAUAACUGAGCUAUUUACCAGGAUAAAUUCAGAAAAUGAUUCCACUUAAAGAAGAUAAUGAACUCAAUGAAAUUACAUGUAUUUACUUUACAACCAAGAGACCAUUUGGAAACCACUAAUACCACUGAAUCCAUAUUUAAAUUUUGAUUUACUUAUUUUGAAAGAAAGAUGCUCUGUAACCUUCAAUACAAAUAAAAAUAUUAGUUUAAUAAAAGAGUGUGUGAGCAAUUUUUUAAAAUAAAAAAGACACUUAAUUUAUUUCCACCUCCAGGCCAGCAGAUGGCAGUGUUUACUCUCUAUGCAAUACUGCUGAUGUAUCAUGUGGUUGUCUGGUGCUACGUAAGAGUGAAUUUUACAGUGCAAAAGACAGUUUAAAUAUAAAAGUAUUCAUUAUUCAUGGUCUUAAAAAACAUUUAUUUCAGUUCCCUUAAAAAAAAUAAUUAAAUUACAUAAUUGUUUUUAAUUAUAAUCAAUGUUUUUGCCGCUUAUCUGGGUCCAGGUCAUGUUAAUUGAUUUGCUAUAGUAGGAACUGUAUUUUACAUAGUGCUAGAAAUAGAGAUACAAAUGUGGCAUAAUUGUCAUUUCAUGUUAAUAAAUAAUUCUAAGCCUUA